UUACGGCUAUAUCAUGUUGAAACACCGAUUCUCGUGCGAUAACUGAAGUUAAGCAAAGUCGAGCCUGAUCAGUACCCAGAUGGGUAACCGCUUGGGAAUAUCAGGUGCUGUAAG